GGUUUUGGAGGCAGGGCCUGUGGGUGGUGUAAUGAGAAUGUUCCCAUAGGCUCAUAUAUUUGCAUAAUAGUCUCCAGUUGGUGAAUUGUUCCGAAAGGAUCAGGAGGUGUGACCUUGUUGGUGUUUGUGUGUUCUUAUAGGAGACUUCAAAAUCCCUGGCCAGGCCCUGGCCCAUUCUCUCUCUCUCUCUCUCUCUCUCUCUCUCUCUCUCUCUCUCUCUCUCUCUCUCUCAAUGGUGGCAAACACCUAGAGGGAGUGUUGAGCUUAGACUCUCUUUGCCACUUCUCUUGGUGACCGUGAAGAGUGUAUGAGUGGGGCUGCUGGAUCCUUCAGGGAGUGUAGCCUCCAGUGCCGUAUCGGCAUCUGUCUGCCCAUUCCACCUUGACCCAACAUUAAGUAAAACUAACUCUGACUAAACUAUGUUUUAUCCACAGAGAGUAAAGAAUGAAGUGUAAAUGCUGUAAUGAACUGAUAAUUAGUAAGAGACUAUAGAAUCGAAAAUGUUCUUUACAAAUCUGAAAAUCUUUGUGACGGGUUUAGUGUAAAUGUAAUGUCCCUUUCUAGAUGAACUGUACACUUAUAGAGGGAAGGAGAGAUGGGGAUAAUUAGUGAAGGCAGAGUAGAAGAAAUGAACAAAUGGGGUUUUAAGCAUCUCUUCAAGGUCUUCCUUUUAAACAUGUAAGUGGGCAGGCAAGUGGUUCUCAUGACCACUUAACAUGAAUGAAUCAUUUGGGCAUUGUAUGUACUCUUAAGUCAGAAGUUUUGGUUCUGGGCAUAUUUCUUAGGUUGCUGGAUGUUUUAUUUCCUAAAGCUUUUUGAACACCAUACUGCAUAAGGCCAUAAACGAUGCUAUGGUCGCAGUUUAGAUUUCAUUUGUACCAUCAAAAUGCAGUAUAGACACUCACAUAUUGUUCUUGCAUUUAAUCUGUUUUGCCCUUUCUGAUAGAAUAAUUUAAUCUUGGAGGGCUCAUGUGUCUAUGAAUGGAAGAAGGUGCUCCUCUUACUUCC
rnacentral:lncRNA from 1 species